GGCAGCUCAAUCAUAAUCACCCAUGGUGAGAAGAAAUUUCAUGGAGCGACAAUCUAAAAGACUUUGCUUGUCUUCCUCUUAAAAUGAAAAUCUACUAGCUGGAAUGAGAAUGGGAUGCUGACAGGCAUGCCUUAAUUUACUGAAUAAUGACUAUGCUUUUAUGGCAGAAUUCAAGUCAGAUGAGGGACAGAACAAGUACUCAGUGGGAAGUAACUGUACUUCCCUGGAGCUGAUGAACUAUGGAACUGAGGCUACUCCCAGAGUACAUGUAGAUGUUUCCCCACCAACUUUACAAGGAACCUGGUGGCAGCUGGGUUUCACAGAAUUAAUGUCUGUAGAAGAAGCCAGAGACAUAAGGUCAUAAAGACCUGGAAGGACCCAACUGGAGAAGUCUGUCACCAUUGUCUACUGGGAGAUUUCAUCUAAAUAAACGUGUUCCAGAGGAAAGGUGUGCUCUCCCC
rnacentral:lncRNA from 1 species